rnacentral:rRNA from 1 species
GACGAACGCUGGCGGCGUGCUUAACACAUGCAAGUCGAACGGAAAGGCCCUGCUUUUGUGGGGUGCUCGAGUGGCGAACGGGUGAGUAACACGUGAGUAACCUGCCCUUGACUUUGGGAUAACUUCAGGAAACUGGGGCUAAUACCGGAUAGGAGCUCCUGCUGCAUGGUGGGGGUUGGAAAGUUUCGGCGGUUGGGGAUGGACUCGCGGCUUAUCAGCUCGUUGGUGGGGUAGUGGCUUACCAAGGCUUUGACGGGUAGCCGGCCUGAGAGGGUGACCGGCCACAGUGGGACUGGGAUGCGGCCCAGACGCCUACGGGAGGCAGCAGUGGGAAAUAUUGCACAAUGGGCGGAAGCCUGAUGCAGCAACGCCGCGUGCGGGAUGACGGCCUUCGGGUUGUAAACCGCUUUCGCCUGUGACGAAGCGUGAGUGACGGUAAUGGGUAAAGAAGCACCGGCUAACUACGUG